rnacentral:rRNA from 1 species
CACUCUGACCAGCCAUGCCGCGUGCAGGAAGACUGCCCUAUGGGUUGUAAACUGCUUUUAUACAGGAAGAAACACUCGUACGUGUACGAGCUUGACGGUACUGUAAGAAUAAGGACCGGCUAACUCCGUGCCAGCAGCCGCGGUAAUACGGAGGGUCCGAGCGUUAUCCGGAAUCAUUGGGUUUAAAGGGUCCGCAGGCGGUCAAUUAAGUCAGAGGUGAAAUCCCAUAGCUUAACUAUGGAACUGCCUUUGAUACUGGUUGACUUGAGUCAUAUGGAAGUAGAUAGAAUGUGUAGUGUAGCGGUGAAAUGCAUAGAUAUUACACAGAAUACCGAUUGCGAAGGCAGUCUACUACGUAUGUACUGACGCUCAUGGACGAAAGCGUGGGGAGCGAACAGGAUUAGAUACCCUGGUAGUCCACGCCGUAAACGAUGGACACUAGUUGUUGGGCAUUAGCUCAGUGACUAAGCGAAAGUGAUAAGUGUCCCACCUGGGGAGUACGAUCGCAAGAUUGAAACUCA